UGCCUCCCCUGUGGGAUUACUUCACUAUGGUGUGGGGAUCCAACAAGUAAAGUGUAGUAGCAGCAAUUCUGGGGAGUACUGGGGAGCAACCUUGCCCUCGUGGUCUGCAAAGUCAGGCAUGUGCUGACUGCCUUGAUGAUGGCGAUGAGAGCAGAGCAGCAGGCUGGAGGAGCUGCCUCACACUGUGCCAUGUCCACCUGCGCUGUGGUGCUUGAAACAAGACUUCAUUGCUGAGCUACAGGGAUUAAGGGAAGGGAUUUUAUUUGCCUGCUGCAGUUAGAUGCAGCGUCCUCAAGGACCCCAGAAUUUGCAUGGAAACAUGGAGGAGAGGAGAGAGGAAAUAACCUUUACAGAAAGAAAAUCAGUCAAAUCAUCUUUAUCAUUCAAACAAAAGAUGACAGGAAAUGAACAGGUGACUUCAAGGAUGAAAAAAAUACUCUUCUGCCAAUUCAAGAAAAGAUAAUGGAUGAGGUGUUACAGAACCUGUAGGUGAAUUUGAGUUUUCAUUAUAACCAUCUUUACCAAAGAUCUUUAUCAUGCAACAAACUACAUUUUGAGAACAAUGCCUGGAAUAAAGAGGGGAAGAAAAUGUUUAAUACUGUUACUUCCUCUAAGUAAGAUCACAGAAUCAUCGAAUCAUAAAAGGUUGGAAAAGACCUCUAAGAUCAUCAAGUCAGCCAUCAGCCAUCACCACCAUGCUCGCUUUGGAGGAUGCCAAAGCAGACACAGAACUGAACAGCAGUCUCAGAUUGUGAUACAUCAUGCUUUUAGAAUUGUUAUUCUCUCCUGAUUCACCUUGUUGCAACUGUAACGAUGCCUGUAGUCCCAGAAGUGGGAGCAAGAAGAGAUCAUUACAACUGGGGCAUUUAUUUCCUCUCUGCCUAUCAAAGAGAUGAGCCUCUGGACAGCAAAUUUAGUGGUAUUUUACUGGAUACAGAUGCAGAGCACUGCACAUCUCUUCUUCCUGCAAUAUAACAGCAGUGGAGAGUUCAGCUGAGAGAACAAACUUUGAGAAGAUAUCUCACUCCUGUAGGACAGUGAAAUAGUUGUCCAAAUCACAAUGUGGGACUCAGAGCCAUGGCCUAGAACAAGAGAAGGGUAUAUACCUUGUCUUUCUUAUUCUUACAAGGAAAGAUCAAGAUACAUCCAUAUGUGACUUUUGACAAUUCAAGAAAGAAAACUUCAAAUGCUCAGAAUCAUAGAAUCAUAGAAUGGCCUGGGUUGAAAAGGACCACAGUGAUCAUUGAGUUUCAACCCCCCUGCUAUGUGCAGGGUUGCCAGCCACUAGACCAGGCUGCCCAGAGAAUUUUUUUAUUCCAGUAAAGGAGGAGGCCUUUCUUUUGUUGAGAAACCAAAUGUAAAAGAGUAGAAGAUUUUUACAAGAAGCAAACUUGUAAAAAUGGCAUCCUGGGGUUCCCCAUUUGUUACAUUGCAAUUGUUUCUAGAUCAAACCUGUUCAGUUCAGCACUGAAAGGAUGGGUUUGCUGCUGUCCAUCACUGAGAGCUCUACUAAAGUAAAGCCUGAUACUUUCUGGGUCAUACUCUCUAAAAAUAAGUCACAAUGGGAAUGCUAAAAAAAACUAACUUACAACAUGUGAAUCAGAACUCCAGUUGCCUUCUACUUCUGCAGGGCUAAGAAAAACCCCUCAAGUACAGCAAUAGGUUAUUUAAAGACCGAAGUAAAUAGAUCUGACUGCAAGCAGACACAGGAAACAGAUCAAUGUCUCAUGAUGAUGAAAUCUAUGUAGUAAGUUUUGACAAGAGCCACAUGCUGGGGCUCAUCCAACAGGGAUCUUUCCACCAGGUAUUUGUUGAAACCUAUAAAGAUGCAGAUUAGCUUCAGUUGAUGCAGGGAAGUGAUUUUUUUUUCAUACAUCCUAUAAACUUUUAUAUUUUUGGCGGGGAGACUGAAAGUGCAUGAAUGCAUAGUAUUUUUUGCAGGCAGACAUAGCUUUAUUCCAAUCCUACCUCAGACUCUCAACCUUUUAUCUCUUAGACUUACUGCCAUGCCAGCUGUGGUUACAUGACUUCCAGUUUGCUUGGAUCAGGGCAGAGACAGGCUAUGUGUGCUUGUCAAACACAAAUACGUGCUAGAACCUGCAGCUAGAGUCCAGGAAAAGGUCUUUGACAUAACAAACAUACCUGUGUAGUCCAAGACCUCCACAGCUCCAAGAUGUACUACUGCCAUGACCUCAGAUUGUUGCUAUGAUGCUUUUUAUAGGGAUUUGAUGACAUCAGCUAGCACUAAUGUGAUAUUUUCCUAAGAGCUGUAGUAGAGGUAGAUGUGUAAAGUCAAAGCUUCUCUCUCAUAGCACUGGACCCACCUGGUGAGUACAAGGCUCCCUCAGGGCAAUGCCAUUUGUACUUUGAUCUGUGUUCAUGAGCACCAGGGCACACAGGAGCCCAGGGAGAAGGGCUGCCCUGGUUUCUUUCUAUUCUUCUUUGGUGUCAGCAUGCUCACCAUGUUGCUGCUCCUCACAAAAACUCAUCAGCUGGAAACAUGUCUAGAAAUGAAGCAGAGCUCUGAAAGCAACACUACUGCAUGCAGGACUGAGCAGCAGCUCCCAGUUUCUGCAAGUUUUUGGUUCUACUCUGUCAACCACCUUAGAACCAAAUUUGUAAAGAAAUGUAGAGGAAAUGAGAAAUUAAAAGGCCAAAUCUGGAAAAAAAAAAAGUCUUCCACUUCUGUUACUCAAACACUUGGAGAGAAGCCAAAAGGCAGAUACAGUAAUAAUACAACUUUUGGAAAAUGUGGAAUAAUAAUAGAAGCUAGAUUUAUUUAGAUCUCCAAUGGUGGAGACUACCUAGACCAUAGAGCAGAAGGGAUUAAAAAAAAACAACCACAUACUCUGAUAUUUGAGAUUUUUGUUUUUAACGUAUCAGACAAAACCAUUGUGAGAUUGAGAAUGGAAGCUGAAGCCUACACAAAGUCAGACUGGAAGAAAGGUGACAACUUUACCUUGAUAACAGCCCAUCACUGCAGGAAUAUCUCAUGUAUGGUUUCCCCAACAGUUAAUCUUUAAAUUUUUUAAAAUUUGAUUUCUUUAUAAAAGAUAGGCUUUUAUUUACUAUUUUAGUCUGGCCUGUACUAUGCAGGAAGCCAGAUUAAAUCAUCAUAAUAUUCCCUUCUAGCCUUAAUCUACAUAUGAUUAAAACAUAUUAUGUAGUUACCUGUCCAUAUAGAGAUGACCAUCUCCUCCCCACUCAAGUUGAUAUUUUCAAGCCACCAAAUGAAACUAGCCAAGACAAAGUGUGCUUGAUGAAACGGUGCUGCUGUGUGACAGUCAUGUGUCUGUGGGGAUGUCAGUGAGUAAAUCUUGAGGCUGAAAUCCUAAAGCACAAAAGAUACACAGCCAGCGUGGUGUCCCACAGGUGGGUGCAGGUGUGCCACACUCUGGAGGGGACAACCAACCCUUCAGGCCCUUCCUGUAUUCCACCAGUCCUCUGUGAAUAUUGGAGAUGAAAUUUUUGUACACUUUCACAGUAGCAAUCACUGUGAACCUGAGCUCAUUUUCACAAACAAAGCAUGCCCAAUCAACAGUCUCAUUUUUUUUUUCCUGCUUUAUGGAUGUUGAAGCAACAAUUUUGUGCAAAAGGUACAGGUGGGUUUUACGCUCCUGCUGGGCCCCAUGGUAGAGACUCACACAACAAAGGCUUGCAGGUGUUUCCUAUAUCUUUGUGGUUAUUUCUUUCAAACAGCAUCUGUUGAAAUGCAUCUUGCCUCCUGCUUAAAAAAGCCCAAUGCUUGGCAAUGCAGGGUGCUUGCCUUAGCUUUAACUGCCCACCCACACUGAACAUUUUAUGUUAUUUAGAUCGACCAGGGGCACAAUGAGAGCCUUUGACCAGCAAGACUUCCCUUCAGAGUGGGAGGCUCUGGAGGGGGAAAGGUGACCCAGAGAUGUGGUAACAUUUUUCACCUCCACUUCUCUUUCCAGUCGGGCAGCCCCGUCAUAGUUGGCACUGACCGCACUACCACCUGCUGCGUUCCAGCAGAAAUCCACACAAAACCUGGCUUGUCUUUGGGUAAUUGCACUUGUAAAGUAGAAGCAGCUCAUUUAAGCACUACACACGGCAUCUUAUUAAGCACCUCGUGAUACAUAAAAUUAAGACAACUGAAAGAAAAUUUCCGAAAAAGCCUUCUAUACGGUUUGUGACCACAGCUUGAUUUGUAUCUGGUGAAGUUUUCCUGGGUGAUGAGUCCAUAAUUCCCAUCACCUUUUGGAAAAAGUCUGAUUUAACUUUAUUUUGCUUCAAUAAUAACUACUAAUGUUGUGUUAACCAAUCAAAAGAGAACAAGUGGUCAAAGCAAGACCUAGAGAAACAGACCCAGAACACAUCUAACCUGAAGUAGAUGUAGGUUGAACAUGAUUUGGUUCUGAAUUCUCAGCAUGAGCUAUAAGUAAUUAUAACUAAAUCCCCUGGGCAAACUGAUCUACGUGUGGUGGCCCCAUUCAAUGCAGGGGAGUUGGACUAAAUGGCCCUUGGAGGUCCCUUCCAACUCUAAGGAGUCUAUGAUUCCAUGAUUAUGAUUCUAAUUCAGGCAUGCAAAGUGGUCUGGGAGGGAACUGGAUGUCAGGUGGUAGCACUGGGCAGUACAAUCUACCUCGAUCUGUGAAUUUCAUUGUAGGAAGAGCAUUAUGUUGUUUUGGUGUUUGUUUGUUUUCCUUAUUUUUUUUUUUAAUUUCUUUAUAGUUUCUUUUUCUUUAAGAUAUGAUUUAGAAACCACUGGGAGUUACUUGGAUGCUGCCUUCCAAAUUCAGUGCUUUUAUUUUUUAAUAUUGUAGUGGAAAUGCUAAGUCACAGCUUGAAGCAGUGAUUGAGCACCUGGUGGAAGGCAGGGCCAACUCAGGUGAGCUCAGGUGCAUGCAAUGCAGCUGAGUGAUCAGAAGGACUGGAGCCAGGAUCCACCCCUUCCCAGCCCUCAUUUAAGGGUUGGCAGUGGAGGCAAGGAUAUCUUCCUAGAGUUUUCUACCUACCUGAGUCUUUCCAAAGGUCAACUGCAUUUAAACAACUGCUAGAUAAACUGCCCAUAACUUGAAAUGCUGGAUGAAAAACAUAUGUUGUACUUCCUCUACAAAGUUGUUCUAUAUCAUUUUUAACCAAGUUUUGGAUUGAAGAGGUGAAUUAUUGCACUGCAUACAACUACGGGCCACACACUCAGUGCUGCCACCCAUAAACACCUUACCUCAUAUUGAAGGACUGGUGACACAAGGCUGUACCCAACAUCAUGCAGGGCUGUGUGAUGACUGAUUCCAGUGAAUGAAAGGGAGCAGGUGUCAAGGAUGCUGAAGGAGGAGAAGGGAUGUGACAGCUGUCUGCAGCUCAGGAUGCAUUAAGUGAUGACUGGGUGGUCUGCGGUACGAUCUGGGACAGAGGAACCACGCAGAGAGCACAGAACACACAGGGCAGAAAGAUUGAAACAUGCUAAACCCUUGAAUACCCCCCAUGACAAAAACACAAGUGAAAUAUUGUCACAACAUUUUAUGUAUUAGUUUGGACAGGAAGAAGAUGAUUUGUAAAGGGAUAUGUUUUCACAGGUAGCAUUACACACACACCCCACUUUCCCAAAUUGUUUUUAAUUGGCUUGCAAUCAGUUUUGUCUAGUCUCCCACCUGUCAGCCAUGAAGACCAACUUACUCCAUCAAAGUCCUGUAACUUUGUGAAGAACACAUUUCUGAGCAAGUCCUCUCCAUAAUGUUACAUUUAUGUUGUGUGGCACCUCGAGCAAUGCUUUGUGCUUUCCCUGUUUCAGAGCUUUGUGAACAGAAUGUCUGGACCUGCAGAUGUUCACCCUCCCACGAGUGCUGGCCUCUACUGCAAAUUCUUGUUGCUGUCUUGUCCUUGGGAAGAGCCUUAGAUAUACAGGCUUAUCAUAGUGAUUUAAACACAGCUACCUGCGGAUGUGAUGGAUUUCCUUUAUUUGCAGUCUCCCAGUCAAGACUAGAUGGAUAUCUAAGAGGCAUGUUGUAGCUCAAACAGAGAGAGGUGCUUGGUGCAGAAAUUAUAGGGUCAGAUUCAAAGGCUGGUGUUGUGUGGGAGGUCAGGCAAGGUGAGUGUGUACUUCCAACCACUGCAUCUACACUGUAAAUUUCAAAGCUGUCUGUAAAACUAGGAAAUGCAGAAGGAAUUUAAUGCAAAGCGUUUACCUUUCCUUUUGUCUGAGAUGUAACCCAACGUUUUGCCUUUCCACCACAUCAUUGUGAAAGGAAAUUAAUUUCCCUGCUCACUGAUUAUACUGGAACUAUUUAAAGCAAAUUCUCAGCUACCACAUACUUGAUCAUAGAAACUUUCUUAACCCCAAAGCUCUCUCGUUUCAACGCUUUCCUCCAACAAGAACUCCACCAGAAACAAAAAUAACUUCUCUUUCUAACCUUUCAACCCAGGACUCCCUACUCAGCUUUAAAUGCAAUCCCAAGGAAGAGAAUUUAUCUAUACUUUUUCUUCCUUUAGGCAGUUACUCACCUGUUUUCAUCUGGCCUUUCUUCAGCCUUGAGCCUGGAAGGAGCAGGUUCACACAGUGCUCAGAGUAUCAACAAAUGAAGGGGGGACUGCCUGCAGAGAAGUGUAGGCCUGAGUUUGUUAAAUCCUCAGAGAAAGGAUGGAGCAGAUAGAUAUAUGCAUAAGGCAGGCAGAAUUGAUAUUAUUUAUUCCUCUUUGGCAGAGUCUGGACAGAAGAGACAGUAGAAAGUACGUCCAUUUCAUCAGACUGGAUGUGUUCAAAGGUGAUAACAGAAGCUGAAUGAACUUGGCUGCCACUGUCCCCGCCUACAGCCAAAGACUGAAUUUGGUGAUGGCCCUCCUUGAGUAGAGCCAAGUGGUGCUCCAUAGCCAAGACUGUCAGCCCAAAAGAGUUGCUGAUCAGCCUGGUCUCAUGUUCCAAGAAUGAAACCCUGGCAUGGAAGUGGCAUAUCUGCCAGUUAAUGUCAACAUUUGAUGUGCAGUCAGAGAGCAAACAAGGUUUCAUAUUGUGGUAAAAAGGGAAAUACUGUUUGCUUUAAUUCUAGUUUCUUUGUGUCAGAUGUAUUAAGAGUCUCAUAAAAUAGUGAAAGAAUUUCAUUCUUACUUACAAUUAUAAGAAGCAUAUAUAUAUAUAUAUACACACACAUAUACAUACACACACAAUAUACCUACUUCUACAAGUACAAACAAAAUGUAAAAUCUAGCUAGUAAUGAAUAGCUUGAAACAUCCUUUUCAGAAAACAUUAUAAUACAAGACUCCAGUGACUUUAUCUAACGCUCAGUUACUAAGACGGGGAAGAGAACACUUAACUGUGAAUGAGCUUCCCUAUAGCAAAAGGAAAGUGCUCCCAGACUGAAAAAUAGGCAGGGACAGACUAAGAUAUCAUGUAGAGUGGGUACAGCUUGCUGUCCAGCUCUCACCAGCCAUGUGUAUAUGACAGUUAAUCCAUGUGCUUUAUUGUCCUCCAGUCUUCUGGAUGAGAGAUCACAGGAGAUCACAUUUCAAACAGUGAUGUCCCAAGUGUGGGAAGAACAGAGCAAUGGGACUCUCACUGCUGUAGGAGGCAGUGCUCAGCACCACAGGAGAUAGUCCUGAGCUCCCAAGGACAAUAAUUAAUGACAACCAGCACUGGCACAGCACUUCUGUUGAGUCUCAGAGCAGAAACACCUGCAGCAUAUCCCACCCUGGCAGGGAAAUGGAGCUGGUGACCUAACAAUCUUUCCCACCUCUAACUUCUGGGGCUUUAUGAAUCGUCAGUCACACCUAGGUGUGAUAUCGCUAUAAAAUCCCAGUCACGUAAGAGAGCUGGCAGGAAGCUCUGGCUGUGCAACUCUGUGGUUUUAUGCUUAGCUGUGUUCUAAAUACUGAAAGAAUGAAGUAGACUUUCAAGCAUCAGCGUUGACAGUUGCUUUCAGAGAUAUUCAAACAAACAAAAUCCAGUCACCUAGACAGCAAAACCAGCUGCAGCUUGGGCUACAGCACAAACGUGACUUUUUGUUUUAAAAAGAAAGCCAUCACUAUCUAAAUGCCACCUGUGGUGUGGUGUGACUAAUACUGCUCUUCUUCAAGAGGUUGGCAAGGGCCUCUUUAUAGACUCAUAAAACCAUAGAAGCAUUUGGGUUGGAAAAGACCUUCAAGAUCAUUGAAGUCCAACCAUCAAACUCACCUACCAAGUGCCACCACCAAACCAUGUCCCUUAGUGCUGCAGAACAUCCCCAGAGGAAACAUGAGCACUGUGCCCAGCGCCAGCUCUGUACUUCACACAGAGGGUGGUGAUGCACUGAACAGGUUGCCCAAGGAGGCUAUGGAUGCCCCAUCCCUGGAGGCAUUCAAGGCCAGGCUGGAUGUGGCUCUGGGCAGCCUGGUCUGCUGGUUGGCGACCCUGCACACAGCAGGGGGUUGAAACUAGAUGAUCACUGUGGUCUUUUUCAACCCAGGCCAUUCUAUGAUCCUAUGAUUGACUAUGGACUAUGGGUGACAUCUACCUGUGAUUGCUGCCAUCUUAACACUAGGGCAGAGCUCAGUACAUUUCUCUACAUGGUGUGUUGCAAUAGGAAAGUUUCUUUCCUUCUCCUCCUCCAAAGUCCUGCAACGGGAAAAGAAAACAUGGGAAACCGUGUCUUCAAAUCAUACACCCAUACUUCAUCUCAUUGUAUAAUCAUCACAAAAAUCUGGUGGUGAGCUGUACUGUAUCUGUGUUUUGUCUGGAGGUUGGAAGUGGUUUUAACGAUUUAAAUCAUGGUAAAGAAAAGGGCCACUCAAAACACAGAGCUGGAAAGCAGAACCGCUUCGGUGUCUGCAGUAUUCUAAACUAGAUUUUGGUCCAGGUCCUGCUCCACUGUGUCCUCGUGUUGGGAAAGUAUAUUCAGAGCUGACAUGGCUUUCCCAGGUGUUUUCUACUGGGACAAAGUGCAGAGAAUGCAGUUAAUCACGAGUGCAUUCAAGUGUCCUAAGGUCUUUGGGUGAAAGCUGUUAGAGACAUUGAAAAAGUGUUUAAUAAUCACAGCCCCAUGUCCUCAGCACAGGCUUUUUGGGUUCACAAAAGUUCAAACACCUUUUAAGAAAUUUAGGCCAAAAUGUAAGCAGGCCAGAGCCAUGCAGCAGUUCCAAUGGCAACGGGGACAGCGCUUUGUUGAACCAUUUUCAGGAUCAUGACUACUGGGUAAGAUGCAUGCUGAGUGGUGCUGCUUUUAUAAACCACAGCAGGCACAAAGGUACUGUGUGCAGUUUCCUAUAGUUGACAUAAAGAUAUAUACAUUUUUCUUUUCAACAGUCUCACUUCUACACAGUUUCAAUUAGAAGUGCAUAUAACAACAAUCCCCAAGAAGAUUCAACAUUGGGUCUUUCAACUGACUGUCAACACAUCCUGUUCUUCCUCAUUUGCAAUACUUGUCCCUAAAAACAAACUGGACAUAAAAGCUUAAGUCUAUACUUAUGAAAUGCUUUUGGAUUAUGUAAAAACAUUGCAGAGGAUUUUAUUGCCUCUUGUUGUACUGGCUAAGAGUUACCCAAACCAUCCACAGAUGGAAGAAGAAGUGGUUAUCUGCAACUUCUGGAGUAGCUAGAAGGAAGUGGUGUUCUAAACUAUGGUUAUUUAACCAAAGGAGCUCAAAAUGAGUGGGAAAUACUUGUGUUCCACACAGCAUUAUUGUACACUACGUAUCAAAUACAACCAAUAGAGAAAGACAAAUAACCUGGGAAUGGCAAACGCUUCCAGUGAAUUACAAAUAUGUUUUAGAGUGACCUGAAUCGCAUUUCAAAGCGCUCAGAAUAUUAUCCCACUAAUUCAAGUGUUUACCGUGGAUCCAGUCUCACUGCCUCCAUUCAUGUGAGCAGUCCCAUCCAUAGCAAGAAGACUGCAGAGCUUUCACCUGCUGACCUGCCCGCUCCAGCUGAGGGUUACAGAAGAGAAGACUCUCCCUGGACCGUGAGAUUCAACAAACACCUCUCAACAGAAAUACAGGCUUGUGGACUGAUCAGAAAGUGACAAAGUAUUUCUAGUACAUAACGUAAAAGGUAUUAACUUGUAUUGAAACAUGAAUUGAGCUUCCAUUUUAACCACUGAUAGCCAUUAGAAAGAUAACGGGUCAUCUUAUUCAUUACGUCUAGAAAGACCCUCAGAAUGUGCUGCUAAGGACAGGUUGGAGUGAUUGCUUUCUAUCAAUUAGCAGCAUGGGACAUGUUCUAAAUGUAGCCUAGUCUAGACUUUCCUGCUUUGGGUAGAUAACACAGCUGAUAUCACACAAGACUGUUUGAUGAGAGUCUUUACAGAAAGAAUCACUGCUGUGGGAAGUUCAGAUAUGAUUUUCAGCUGCUGAAAUAAGAUCAGACUGAAAAUCUCAGCUCAGCUCUCAGAUCAACACGGGUGAAACAAUGCCUUCCUGAAGGCACAUCUACGUGGGGAGGAACCAGCAACCAUUCAGCAAAACUCAAAUGCAGUUCUUCAGUGGGGGGCUUUCAUUCCCCACUGUGCCUGUGGCACAUGGGCAGUGAGCCAGUAGGGGUCUGGGGAGCAGGGUGAGUGGGAUGAGUGGGACUGCUCCUCCAGCUCAGAGCUUUCCAGCUCUACUCAGGUGGGACCUGGCCAAUGCCCAGCAUCCCUCUGUUGGAUCCAACACACAGAGAUGCCCUUGGCUGUGCUCUGAUGAGUGGCGAGGAGCUGAAGCCAGGCUGAUUCAAGCUGGAAAUGCAGCAUUUUAUUUAUUUGUUUGUUUGUUUUUAGCAGAAGCUGUGAUUUUAAAUAAGGGUCUAAAUCUGCAUCGGGUAUCUUUCUAAAAGAUGACCUCCUGCAACUGUGGGGCAGAUACAGAAACAUUGUGACCUUAAGAAUUUAUUUCUAUCAAAUAUGAACUUCAUUUCCAUCGUUUCCCACUGUCCAGAGAUGUCAGAGAUCAGUUUAAUUGCAUAGACUGUCAAGACUCCCUGGGAAUUAUGUGUAGUUUUUUUCCUAUCUCUCUCAGACAGGAUCCAUCUUCACUUUGAAUAAUUACUGCCAGAGCUGAAUCAGAAACUGCCAAAGCUGCAGGAAAGAAUCCAACAUUUUUCUACACAGAUUCAAAGCAAAUAUGAAUUCCCUUCCCUUUCCUUUUCCUUUCCCUUCCCUUCUACCACAACCCCUUUCACUUCAUUCCCUUUGAAUAACUUACCAUGAAUGAAUUUAGUGAGGGAAUGGUACACAAGAAAUCUUUGGGCAAAUCCUCAGCUGUUUCAAUUGGCUGCAGUAAAGCUACACUCUGUUACACCCUGAAGAUGCACCACAGUGGAUGUGAAAAGCUCUCUUGGAGAUUAUUCACCUCGUAUGAAUGCAACUGUUCCCAUCAGCUAUCUCAGCUUAAAGAUUGUGGUUAUUGAGUCAGGGGACAGAACAAUGGUAUGGGAUUGAGCCCAAGCAAUUAACUCUUCCCUCAACUUUAUUACUGAAUCCUGAACUGGCAUCCCACAGAGAACCUGUAACAAUCUUAUUCAGAUCAAAGCCCCCACUUUUUAAAUAAUGAGAAGUUUGGAAAACAAAAAUCAAAGGGCAGCCUAUGAUUCACACACAGAAAUUUUAUAAAAACCACAAAAUCAAAAGGCCCUUAAUUGAGGCCUUUCAACCCAACCAAGUAUUCAUUCCAAGAUAAUUACCUGCCAUAAAACCCUCUGCCACAGAGACACUGGACUAGAAAACCUUUGAAUUGCACACGGAACUUAAGGAAAGAGCUGGCUGGGAUGUAAUCCUGCUGAGACCUGAAAAGGAGAAGUUCUGGGGGGGAACCAAGCCUUCAGUGCAAGUCAUUCCUCUGUAAAAACAUGUCAUCAUUGAGAAGGCUCUACAACAAGAAAAGACUGGGGAAGAUCUGCCAGGAGCAAACCAGGUACUCUUAUAAAUAAGGAACAAAUAGCACUGUACAUCACAUUGGGUUAAAUGCCAUGAGUAGCAUCAAAUGGUAUCUUGAAGAACAGAUGAGUCAACAGCCAGAAAUGCAACUGAUUAAAACCAAAAUUAAACUGGCUCUAACUGAUGGUGCAUGAAGGGCUACAAUCAAAAAAAGAAAAGAAAAAGGGAAAGUCUUCUGCUGUUGGGAUUCCUCUGUUCCUUCAAGCUACAAUAGGUUCUGAGCUACACAACGUUAAAAUCGUCACUGUCCUUUUGGGCACCUCACCAAAGAUGAGGGCAACUCUUGGAGCAAUGCAGUGCUCAGUCCCUGCCAUAGACCUGCCUCACAAACAGUGGUUUGGUUUUGUGGUUGUUGGCCAAUAUCUGAAAGGAUAGAAUUUCCAGACUGGAAGGGAUCCACCAGCACCGGAGUCCAACUCCUGCUCACUCUCAAGGUACUGAUUAAGAAGCUUUAGACUGACAAAUAAGUACACUUAGGAAGUUCUCCAAAUAAAUGACUGAUUAUAAUUGCUAAGGACUUUCAGAUGAAAUGGCUUUAACAUAACUUUUACUGAAAAUUUGGUAUGACAGAGGGCUAUACUCAACAGGAACUAUUUCUGUCAAUCUAGAUGUAUUUCACCAUGGUUGCAUGGCUGAUCAAAUAUCUCUACAAACAAAUGCAAUUGUUGAAAUUUUGAAAUGAAACAAUUAUGGUCCUCUUAUUUUCUGAUCAAUUCAGAUAUGUGAAGACAAAUACGUAGUUAGCAUACAAAGAGGCA
rnacentral:lncRNA from 1 species